rnacentral:rRNA from 1 species
UACGUAGGGCGCAAGCGUUGACCGGAAUUAUUGGGCGUAAAGAGCUCGUAGGCGGUCUGUCGCGUCGGAUGUGAAAGCCCGGGGCUUAACCCCGGGUCUGCAUUCGAUACGGGCAGACUAGAGUGUGGUAGGGGAGAUCGGAAUUCCUGGUGUAGCGGUGAAAUGCGCAGAUAUCAGGAGGAACACCGGUGGCGAAGGCGGAUCUCUGGGCCAUUACUGACGCUGAGGAGCGAAAGCGUGGGGAGCGAACAGG